AACCUAAUCCCACUAACUCGUGCUUUUUAUUACUAAUACUUAACUCAAAAUUAGACGAUCUCUAAUACCUAAAUUAUUUACUUUAUAGCGGUCCUUUCGUACUAGCCAAAAGCCCAUUAAAAUUACUGAAGAUAGAAACCAACCUGGCUCACGCCGGUCUGAACUCAGAUCAUGUAAGAUUUUAAUGGUCGAACAGACCAACCAUCAAGAGCUUCUACACCCUUAGGAUAUCUUAGUCCAACAUCGAGGUCGCAAACCCUCCUUUCGAUAAGAUCUCUCCAGAAAGAUUACGCUGUUAUCCCUGUGGUAACUUUUUCCUUUAAUCAGUAUUCUACUGGAUCAAAACAACCUGCAAGAAUACACCAUUUUCCGGCACACUACUUGCCCUUCUAAACCAAAGGAAGCUCUAGCUGUUCCUCAGUCGCCCCAACUAAAGAUUCAUACUAAAAUCCCAUUACACCUAGGUCCACGCUUAUUACAAAUAUCAUAAUAAUCCAUUUAGCAUAAAACUAAAGCUCAACAGGGUCUUCUUGUCCCUCAGCCAAAUUUAGGCCUCUUCACCUAAAAGUUAAUUUCUAAAUAUUUUAAAAGAGACAGCUUAGCCCUCGUCAAACCAUUCAUACAAGCCUCCAAUUAAAAGGCAAAUGAUUAUGCUACCUUUGCACGGUUAGGGUACCGCGGCCGUUUAACAUUCUUAGUCACCGGGCAGGUCCGACUCCCUAUAUAUUUCUACCAUUCAAGGAGCCAUGUUUUUGAUAAACAGGCGGGGCCAAUUUUUGCCGAGUUCCUUUCUAAAAAUUAAAUAUAAAUUAUCAGCUCUUAUGAACACAAUCACGUCCAUUUUUCCAUUUUUCGCUUUUACUCUUCGUAAACUUUUCCUCUACUACAACUUCUACUUAUACGACUUUAAACUCUUAACAUUUAAAUACUAAUUUCUCCAGAAAUGCAUCGCUCGCAAUAACCUUAAGCGACCAAACCAGUAAAUCAAUCUACUAAAUUAUUUCUCUUAGAAAACAAAAUAAAAAUCUUUAACUAAAACUAACUAAAUUUAUAACAAACUUACUAAAAGAUGGCUAACCCUAAGCCCACUAAAACCAGUCCUACUUAUAUUUCACUCCUAUUCAUUUUUCUUAACCACAUAAAGAAGCUUAUCCUUCUUUAUUUAAGAAUUGCUUCCUCUGUUCUCGGCACUCACAUUAAUUUCGCCAAAACACAUUCCUUAUCUAGCACUCCAACACUUUAAUAUUUUUCCCGGUCAACCAGCUAUCAAAAAUUUCGAAAAGCAUUUCACCCCUAUUCUCUAGUCUAAGCACAACUUUACAACGUAGACGCCAAGCCAGACAAUAGCUCAAUUUUUUUCGGGCCAGCUUUAAUACUAAGCCCCGCUCUAGAAGAACCAUGAUACAAAAGGUACAAGACAAAACCUCAACUAACCCAAAAAUAACAAAAUUUCAAUCUCCCAUUCCUUUACAGUACUUAUUCACUAUUGCCUUAACUUCAUAAAACUUUCAUUCACCAGAACUCGUAAAAUUAGACGUUUCUUUCUCCUUCAACCUUAUUCUCACUCAAACUUUCAUCUCUCUUACCGCUCUCUUAG
rnacentral:rRNA from 1 species